rnacentral:lncRNA from 14 species
CCCAGGACUUGGGGAUGGGGGGGCUUUGACACCCCCCUCCCUUUGACCCCACCAGGGAUCCAGGUGAUCUUGGAUUUGACCCCCAACUACUUGGGGGGCUCGGCUUGGUUUGGGCCUGCAGUGGCUGAGGACCCCGGCUUCCAGGAUAAGGUCAAGCGAGCAAUGAGCGUGUGGCUGGAGCGCGGCGUCGCCGGCUUCUUCCUGGAUGGCAUCGAGGAGCUGAAGCCCUCAGUGUUGGCCGAGUGGCGGAACCUGACGGAGCAGAGCAGCCCUGAGGGCAUCCCCAGGUCUGUAUGUGCCCCCCCCAUCUCCCCCCCCAUGUGUUUUUGGGGGUCACCCCCCCCCAUUUUUGACCCAUUGCUUCCCCCCCCCCGUUUUUAGGGUGCUGGUUGGGGGCACACGACUGCAGGACCCCCCCUCGCUGCUGGCACUGCUCAACUCCUCUGCUGUGGGGCUGGUGCUUGGGCCCUUCCUGGAGCCGCUGCUGUCCAAAGGCCUCGGCCCCACAUUGGCCCCACAACUGCUGGAGUUCCUGGCCCCCCAAACCCCCCUGGCCUGG